CUGCCCCCGACUAGAUCUAGCCCAAAUCCCCUUCUGCUCCGACCCCAGACCCCGCCGACCACCUUCCAUCGCCCGACCCUAGCCGCCGCAGACCCCAGAACCUGCUGACUACCCUCCACCGCGCGACCCCAGCUGCCCCGACCACCCAUCGCAGCAGCCUCCUCCCGGACCACCAUUGCCGCCGAGGGAUCCUGCCGCCGGGCACCUUCCUCUACCGCGCGGCGUCAAAUACCCUCCUCCGCAGAUCUCGUCCGCCCGCCGCCUAAAUGUCGCCUCUCCGCCUCGCUUUCUCCCCAGACAGCACCGUCUCCUUGGCAUCUCUCCUGAACUGCCGAGAUGAGGCGUAUGCGGACUAGGGUUUGGGCCGCCUGCCCUCCUGGUCGACCUCCUCCGGCCAGUGCUCCUCUGCCCCUGGUCGACCUCGACGUCGUGCUUCCCAGUCCAUCGUCCUUUGUCCAUGCUCCCCCCAGUUCGUGCUCCUCAGGUCUCCUCCUCUUGUACUUCCAGCCCGAGAAUCACAGGUCAACAGAUGUUUGUCUCAAAACGACAGAAUGAAUCAUCUUUUGAUGGUGCUCAAGUCAUGGGCAUAGAUGCAUCUAACCAAAUAAUACUUGCUUCUGGAAGGCACCUGGUGUAGGUGGAGAACAUGUUCUUAGAGAGUUGCAGGUCUUUGUAUAUUUCCACAAUUAUGGAGGGCGUGGUUUAGCUGCGUUUUUCAGAGCAUUGCAAGUUUGGUGACUCUUCUGGGGGAGUCAUGUGGCUCUUUUUGAAUGAUGGCGUUUCAUAGGAUGGUGGCAAGUCUGGUAUUUAGAAGACAUUUUAUGAAGCCUGAGGGAGUCCUGGAUUAGGGGGUGUCCGGAUAGCCGGAAUUAUACCUUCGGCCGGACUCCUGGGCUAUGAAGAUAUAAGAUUGAAAACUUCGUCCCGUGUUUGGAAGGGACUUUCC